GCCAGGUAUGGUGGCUCACACCUGUAAUCCCAGCAUUUGGGAGGCUGAGGUGGGAGGAUUGCUUGAGCCCAGGGGUUGGAUACCAACCUGGGCAACAUGGCAAAACCCCAUCUCUA
ensembl:misc_RNA Metazoa_SRP Metazoan signal recognition particle RNA